UAUGGCAAAUGUGAGAUGCAGUGUACGGAACAUCAAUAUUCUAGUAUGAGAAGUUAACGAUUUAAGUCCUUCUUAAAUGAGGCCAUUUACCCAUAGAGGGUGCCAGGCCCGUAUAACGUUAAUGAUUACUAGAUGGUGUUUCCAAAGAGUCGUGUUGCUUGAUAGUGCAGCACUAAGUGGGUGGUAAACUCCAUCUAAAACUAAAUAUAACCAUGAGACCGAUAGUAAACAAGUACCGUGAGGGAAAGUUGAAAAGAACUCUGAAUAGAGAGUUAAAUAGUACGUGAAACUGCUUAGAGGUUAAGCCCGAUGAACCUGAAUAUCCGUUAUGGAAAAUUCAUCAUUAGAAUUGUAAUAUUUUAAACAAUAUUAUAAUAAUAGUGUGCAUUUUUUCCAUAUAAGGACAUUGUAAUCUAUUAGCAUAAAUAUUUAUCAUAAAAUUAUGUCUGAUUGCUUAUUUGAAUUAUAUGCUUGCAUUUUAACAUAAAAUAAAAGAUAUAAAUUUGAUAAAGUGCUGAUAGAUUUAUAUGAUUACAGUGCGUUAAUUUUUCGGAAUUAUAUAAUGGCAUAAUUAUCAUUGAUAUUUGUGUUUAUUAUAUGCAUUUGUAUGAUUAACAAUGCGAAAGAUUCAGGAUACCUUCGGGACCCG
rnacentral:rRNA from 1 species